rnacentral:sRNA from 2 species
GCUGCUUCAUGUACUCGGUUCGCCGUUCCCGAAACGCCGCUUGCGCUUGUCUAUUUCUUUGCUUGCGCUCUUCGGAGGUGGCAUAUAUCUACAGACAUCGCUCCAAUCGCAGUGCCAGCGGCAAAGGGAGAACAGAAAUUAGCAAGCAGAUAAUAGUAUAUAUAAAAAAAACUCGGGUAAACGGGAGAGUAGAUACUACUAGUAGUACUAGUAGUUCUGUGAAUAAUGAAAUAGAAAGGCCAAAAACUCAAGCAAUAGCUCAGGAAACGACAUACCGGCUUGCGCCCUCCCUUUCGCUUCUGCCGCUUGACAGCGCCUUGAAGAAGGAUUUCACCAUCUGGUUCUGGCGUUGAGACUGAUGAACUGCUAGAACCCUCAGGGUUGGGUUCGGAUUGCGGAAUUACCUCCUCCAUUCUCAUGCCAUUCCGCGAAUUAAUUUGGCUGACAUAGACCACAGAUCCCAUAUCAUGCAGAGAAAGAUGAAAGUCGAAGGAUUGCAAAAUUGAGGUGGUUAGGAUCUUGGGGGAGAAAUUGGGGCAGAAAUUGUGGGGAGGGGGGUAUUUGACAAGCUGGCUGGAACCGAAUCUCGGAAGCGGGGAGGCGGAAGGGCGGAAGGGUUGCGUCUAGGUUGCAGAAACGCGCGGCUAAAGUGGCUAGAACGGGCGAGAAGUGGAAGCACGAAGAGGAACAGGAAAAGUAGCAAUAGAGUGAUAGGAGGGACGGUGGAAGAGGAAGAAUCAGGCAGUUACAGCAACAACAUGAACAGAGACGGCUGCUGGCUUAAAGAAGCCAAAGGGCCAAAGGGCCCACGGACUGGACUGGAGAAAGAACAAGAGGCGGGGGAGUUGGCAUUGGCAUCUGGCAUUUGGUAUUGGCCGGUAUUGGCCUGUAUUGGCCUGUCUAGUAGGUACUACAGCGUAUGUUGGCCUGUCUUGCAGGGUAAGGUGGUGGGGGAAGGCGGGCAAUCAUCCCUGCCGCAAGAGGCGUGGAGACACUGGAGACACUGAGUGUGCGCAGCGUAAUUUGUCUGUUGCUGGACGUACUGUACGAGUGCUACUUCAUGCUGGCUGAAGCGGGAUGCUUCAUUUUACAAUGGAGGGGACUUUCUAUUAUUCCUACCUUUUUACUUUUUGUUCGUUUUGCUUCCUUUGUGCGUGGUGAGCAGCUGCGGGGAAUGACGUGGGAUGAUGCAUGUUGCCCCGAUCAGCGCUUUUCCACUCAAUUAUCCUGCAUAUCGCCUAAACAACCAACGGCAGAGAAUGGCGACGUUAAAUACAUGAAUACCUAGCUAUCAAACCGAACUAGUAUUGUC